rnacentral:lncRNA from 1 species
UCUUCUUCUUCUUCUCUUUCACGUUGCUUCCUAACCUCCAUAAAAGCUUGAUAAGAAAGCUCCACAACCUUCCUUAAAUAGCUCCAAAUUUCGUACUUUUGGUGCACCCUUUCCAUAAACCCUUGUGCUCUUCCACUCUCUCUCCUUAAAACCCUUGAAAAGUCUUAUUUUCAUACUCUCUCACUAGUUAGGUGUUUUAGAGAGAAAAAGAGGAAGCUUUAAAAAUAGCUUGAAAGUUUUGGAAAGAAUUUCAAAUACAAGCUACCAAGGUGAGUAGUAUACUAAAUUUGAGAUUUGGUGUUGAGAAUGAUUAGUGUUUAGAUUUGUAGGUGAAUUGGUAGUUGGGAUGUUCAUUCAUUUUAAAGUGAUAAAGGUAGAGAAGAAUAGAUAGCCAUUUAAAUGACCAUUGUAAGUUAGCUAAGAGAAAGCUUUUGGGCUUUAUAAGUAUGUGAAUUGACAUAUUAGUGAUGCUAAUGUGAUGAUAGGUUCUAACGAAGUCUCACAACCCCAAUUGGACCAUUAGGGAGGUUAGAGUCGGUUAAAGGCUCAACAAAUACCAGUGAGUGGACUUGCAUUUCAAAUUUUGUUUUAGGAAUGUGAAUGCAAUUGUGCAAACAUUGGAAAGAUUUUAUCUAGUUUUCCUUUGAAAAUGUACCUUGGGAACAAGCCUUUGGUGAAGUGAUUUUAUAUUGUGAAAAUGUGCUAUACAAUGGUUUAUGUGUUAUCACAAUAUGAUAAUAUGCAUAAUAUGAUUUGGGUUCUUCUUUGUAUGUUGAUGUGGACCCGGCUAUAUGUGAGUAGGAGUGUACAUAAGCCGAUGAUGACCCGGCUAUGUGCGAGUGGGAGUGCACAUAAGCCGAUGAUGACCCAGCCAUAUGCUAGUGGGGAGUGCGCAUGAGCUGAUGACGAUGGGAGAGUGUGCAUGAUGAUGAAUAUACAUAUACAUGUAUAGAUAUGUGUGUUAUAGAAAGUUCAUGAAUAUGUAAAUGGUUGAAAUGCAUGUGAAAUUUGACAUGUUGAACUUUGAGAAAUUAUAUGAGUUUCAUGUUGUGUUGGUCAUGUGAACAGGGUGGCCUUUGCUUGAGGGAAUGAGGAAUUUUUGCUGGUACCCUGUUUC